GACGAACGCUGGCGGCGUGCCUAAUACAUGCAAGUGGGACGCAAGGGAACACACUGUGCUUGCACACCGUGUUUUCUUGAGUCGCGAACGGGUGAGUAACGCGUAGGUAACCUGCCUAUUAGCGGGGGAUAACUAUUGGAAACGAUAGCUAAUACCGCAUAAUAUUAAUUAUUGCAUGAUAAUUGAUUGAAAGAUGCAAGCGCAUCACUAGUAGAUGGACCUGCGUUGUAUUAGCUAGUUGGUAAGGUAAGAGCUUACCAAGGCGACGAUACAUAGCCGACCUGAGAGGGUGAUCGGCCACACUGGGACUGAGACACGGCCCAGACUCCUACGGGAGGCAGCAGUAGGGAAUCUUCGGCAAUGGACGAAAGUCUGACCGAGCAACGCCGCGUGAGUGAAGAA
rnacentral:rRNA from 1 species